GAUGUCUUGCUCGAGGAUAUUAUCAGAGAGGUUGAUCAAGACAACGACGGAAGAAUCGAUUACGGUGAAUUUGUUGACAUGAUGAAGAAAGGAAAUGGUUGGAUCGUUAGACGAACCAUGCGAAACAGUAUGAAUGUGAGCAUGAAGGAUGCACCCGGUUCUCAUUAGUUUCCAUCCGCAAACAUCUUGUACUGAUUGUAGAGCAAAUCAACAAGAAGAAGAUGGU